UACGGAGGGUGCGAGCGUUGUCCGGAAUCACUGGGCGUAAAGGGCGCGUAGGCGGCGCGGAUAGUCGGCGGUGAAAGCCCGGAGCUCAACUCCGGGUCGGCCGUCGAUACUUCCGGGCUUGAGCACUGUAGAGGCAGAUGGAAUUCCGGGUGUAGCGGUGGAAUGCGUAGAGAUCCGGAGGAACACCGGUGGCGAAGGCGGCAUCCUGGACCAACACUGACGCUGAGGAGCGAAAGCCAGGGGAGCAAACGGG
rnacentral:rRNA from 1 species